AUUGAACGCUGGCGGCAGGCCUAACACAUGCCAGUCGAGCGGAUGAAGGGAGCUUGCUCCUGGAUUCAGCGGCGGACGGGUGAGUAAUGCCUAGGAAUCUGCCUGGUAGUGGGGGAUAACGUCCGGAAACGGGCGCUAAUACCGCAUACGUCCUGAGGGAGAAAGUGGGGGAUCUUCGGACCUCACGCUAUCAGAUGAGCCUAGGUCGGAUUAGCUAGUUGGUGGGGUAAAGGUCUACCAAGGCGACGAUCCGUAACUGGUCUGAGAGGAUGAUCAGUCACACUGGAACUGAGACACGGUCCAGACUCCUACGGGAGGCAGCAGUGGGGAAUAUUGGACAAUGGGCGAAAGCCUGAUCCAGCCAUGCCGCGUGUGUGAAGAAGGUCUUCGGAUUGUAAAGCACUUUAAGUUGGGAGGAAGGGCAGUAAGUUAAUACCUUGCUGUUUUGACGUUACCAACAGAAUAAGCACCGGCUAACUUCGUG
rnacentral:rRNA from 1 species